CACGUAGGGUGCGAGCGUUGUCCGGAAUUAUUGGGCGUAAAGAGCUCGUAGGCGGUGUGUCGCGUCGGCCGUGAAAACUCACAACUCAAUUGUGGGCGUGCGGGCGAUACGGGCAGACUGGAGUACUGCAGGGGAGACUGGAAUUCCUGGUGUAGCGGUGGAAUGCGCAGAUAUCAGGAGGAACACCGGUGGCGAAGGCGGGUCUCUGGGCCGAAACUGACGCUGAGGAGCGAAAGCGUGGGGAGCAAACAGG
rnacentral:rRNA from 1 species